rnacentral:rRNA from 1 species
UACGGAGGAUGCGAGCGUUAUCCGGAUUUAUUGGGUUUAAAGGGUGCGUAGGCGGACGCUUAAGUCAGCGGUAAAAUUGCGAGGCUCAACCUCUUCCCGCCGUUGAAACUGGUGGUCUUGAGUGGAUGAGAAGUACGCGGAAUGCGUGGUGUAGCGGUGAAAUGCAUAGAUAUCACGCAGAACUCCGAUUGCGAAGGCAGCGUACCGGCAUCCAACUGACGCUGAGGCACGAAAGCGUGGGGAUCAAACAGG